rnacentral:rRNA from 1 species
GGAUGCGCCUAGGUAUAACGCAUCAUAUAUAUUUUAAAUUUCUUAGAUGCUGAAACUAUAUAUAACACACUACACAUGUACACUUGCAUGUAGGCAUACAGAGAAGUAGUUACAAGGGCUCGCCAAAUUCCCAGGCUUUGCAUUUAAUAAAUCAUCGGUCGAGAAUAAAAUCUUAUGUCCUUGCAAAAACUGUGUGAACUCAUACUGGAGAGAAGAGUCUGAAGUCCGUGAGCACCUGGUAUGCGAGGGAUUUGUAGAUGGCUACAAACAGUGGAUGUUUCAUGGAGAAUGUGUCUCUUCUUCUUCCAUUCCUCCAAAUCUAGAUGAGGGUGACGAUAGGGAUGAGGGCGAUGAUAUAUCUGAUUUGCUAAGAGACCUUGCUGCUAGUUUGGAUAAAGGGGGAGAUCUUGAAGAUGAUUGUGGUUUAGAUCAGGAUGAUUCUUUUCUAGAAUCUCUCCACAAACUUGAAGCUGAUUCUAGACAAGAGCUAUAUCCAGGCUGUAAGAAUUUCUCAAAGCGUCGUUUCCUAGUGAGACUUCUUCUCACCAAACUGCUUGGAGGGUGGUCUGAUAGAAGUUUUGAUCUGCUGUUAGAUCUACUAAAAGAUGCUUACCCUCAGUCCGCAAUACCCAAAAACUCCAAUGAAGCUAAAAAACUAGUCAAAUGCCUAGGACUUGGGUAUGUUAAUAUCCAUGCAUGUGAAAAUGAUUGCAUUCUAUUUUGGAAGAACAAUGCCAAUGCCAAUUCAUGCCCAGAAUGUAAGGCUUCAAGAUGGAAAUCUGAAAGGAAGAGUGCAGAUGGGAAACGUGUCCACAAGGUUCCUAAGAAGGUUCUUCGUUACUUCCCAAUAAAGAAGAGGCUUCAAAGGUUGUUUGUGUGUUCCAGAACUGCGGCUCUCACAAGAUGGCAUGCGGAAGAGCGCACACAAGAUGGCAUGCGGAAGAGCGCACACAAGAUGGCUUGAUUAGGCAUCCUAAAGAUUCCCUCCUUUGGAAAGAUUUUGAUGAAAAAAAUAAAGAUUUUGCAAAAGACAACAGAAAUCUUAAGCUUGUAGUACGUGCCGAUGGUUUUAAUCCGUUUAGAUCCAUGAAUCUCAGCUAUAGCAUUUGGCCAGUAUUAUUGAUUCCUUAUAACUUUCCACCCUGGAUGAUUAUGAAGCAAUCAAAUUUCAUCCUAUCACUGUUGAUUCCUGGCAGAAAUUCUCCUGGUAGUGAUAUUGAUGUCUAUCUUGAGCCACUAGUUGAUGAUAUGGUAGAUAUGUUUCUUGAUGGUGUUAGGACCUAUGAUGCUUCAACCGGAGAGUAUUUUCAGUUUCAUGCUGCCAUAAUAUGCACAAUUACGGAUAAACCAGGUCUUGGGUCUUUGGUUGCCUGUGCUUCCUCUGGAGAAGGAGCUUGCCCUGAAUGCCACUCUCAAUUAUGUUCUCUUAGGCUAAAAAAUGGUAGCAAGACUUGCUAUAUGGGGCAUCGUAGGUUCUUACAUGCAGAUCACCCCUUGAGGUAUGAUACACGCACAUUUGGUGACAUAGAACGUGGGACAGCAGCCGUUCCACUUUCCGGUAGGCAAAUCUUAGAGCUGACAGAAAAUAUGCAAACCAAGUUUGGGAAGGAUCCUAUAACGAAGAAGCCUAGAACUAAGAAACGCAAGAAAGGGGAUCCGCUGAUCAUUUGGAAAAGAAAGUCUAUUUGGUUUAAACUACCAUAUUGGAAGGAUUUGAAGAUGCAUCAUAACUUCGAUGUCAUGCACAUAGAAAAAAAUGUGUGUGAGAACAUAGUUAACACUUUGUUGGCAGUCAAUGGAAAAACCAAGGAUAAUAUUAAUUCUCGAUAUGACCUUCAAGCACUCAGUAUUAGAAAGGAUCUUCAACCUAUUGAUCUUGAUGAUGAUGAAGUUUUUUUUCCUCCGGCACCUUACACAAUGGAAUCUGAUCAGCAGAGGACAUUUUGCAAAGUAUUUAAAAAUGCCAUGUUUCAUAAUGGUUAUGCAUCUGACAUACGCCGUAAUGUGCAUUUUAAGGAGAAAAAGAUAACUGGGCUAAAGAGCCAUGACAACCAUGUCCUUUUGCAAGACUUGCUGCCACUUGCAGUGAGAAGAACAUUACCAGAAAGAGUGAGUGCGGUACUGAUUCGUGUGAGCAGAUUUUUCAAGCGAAUGUACUCACAGGUUAUUCGCAUAAGUGACAUGCAAAGGUUGCAGGAUGAAAUAGCUGAGACCUUGAGCCUUCUUGAGGCCAUAUUCCUCCCAUCAUUUUUCGAUAUUAUGGUGCAUUUGAUGGUUCAUCUUCCAGCACAAGCAAUGAUAGCUAGUCCAGUACAUUUUCGCAGCAUGUGGGCUGUAGAGAGGUAUAUAGGAAAGCUCAAGGGACAUGUCCACACCAGAAGUCAUGUGUAAGGAUCAAUUGCAGAGGGCUAUUUGUUUGAUGAGAGCUUGACAUUUUGCUCACACUAUUUGGAUGAUGAGAGUCGGUUGAAUCGAGCUAGGAAUGAUGGAGGUUUGGAUAUGGAAGUUGAUGAUACAACUCCUUUCUUCCACAACAUUGGUCGAGGGCUGGCUGGCAAGUGCAUGGUGAUGUUAGAUAACAAAACUUGGCUGCAAGCCCACAGAUACGUCUUGUUCAAUUAUGACAACAUAGAACCAUACCUAGAGUAAGAUAUCCCUACUAUGUAUUGCUAUUAGGUUAUUUCUCUCCUCCUUGUCAAUUGAUAAAUAUAACCUAUAUGCAGCAAACAUAUGAUUACCUUUCUUCUAUUGGUGUUCGAAGUCAUCGAGAAGUCAAGCGUGUGCAUUACGAGACCUUUCAUGAGUGGUUUAAAUUGCACGUAAGUGGGCAUGUGACUGUCAACCUAUAAGACAUAUAAUUCCAUCCCAUUGUAGAGUAACAAUAGCAUUUCAUAAUCACAGGUGGCAGAAAUGGGCGAUGAAGCACCUCAUGAGAUAAAAAUAUUAGCUAAAGAGCCAAACUUGGUUGCUAUGAAGUAUAGUAGCUACACUAUAAAUGGGAUAGACUUUCAUACACAAUCAUAUGAUGAGGGCCGGUCAUUUCAGAGUAGUGGAGUAGCUCUUGUUGCACAAACCACAUCCUUUGCAAAAGGAAAAGGUGACAAUAUUAGUGUAAGAAACAAGACCUAUUAUGGCAUUAUAAAGGAAAUUCUUGAGUUGAACUAUCAACAUGAAGGGAAAGUAGUGUUGUUCAAAUGUGACUGGGUUGAUAAUCAUGUAGAAGAUGAAUGGGUGCAAACUGAUCAGUUUGGAGUCACUUCUGUGAAUUUCAAGCAUUUGUUCAAUACCGGUGAGAAAAUAUCAAACGAGCCCUUCAUAUUAGCCACACAAGCAACUCAAGUUUACUAUGUUGAAGAUCCCAUUGAUGCUGAGUGGUCUACUGUUGUUGUUCCAUCAUUAUAUGACAUGGAAGAAUCUCAAGAUGAUAAUGGUAAUGUUUUACGUGUGACGUUGCCUGAUCCAUGUACUGCCAUACGUGUGAGUGUUGCGGAUGGAUGCAUUGGUUCUGCUAGGACAGAUAUAGAUGGACUAGUUCUUAAAGCAAGUGAUAUUGAAAAAAAGUAAGUUGUGUAUGAACUACUGAGAAGUAAGAGGAUUGAAGAAAAUGAUAAACGGCUAGCAGCGGUACGGGCAACAAGAGCUUCUAUGCAGGAAGAUAUGGAAGCAAACAAAGCCGCCAAAAAGAAAAGAAAGGCACCCUCCAGCGCACCUGUAAGCGCGAAUGAAGGACGUGUUUUGAGGUCUAGGGUAUCAAAAGAUCAAGAUCAUGUUGAUCCUGAGCAUCAGCCUUCCAAAGAGAUUACUCGUGAGCUGGAUGAUGAUGGUAGUCAAAAGAAAGGUGGAAGAAAAAUUACUCGAAAGGCUAACAUAUAUGCAAGGUUGAAUCAACCCAAAAUCCAUAUUCCACUUAAUGGGGAUGGGCAGCAUGUUGGGCCAGAUGCAACUGAAUUUGCCAAUUUCAUUGGUACUUUGGUGAGGAAGCAUAUACCACCUGCAGAGUUAGACUGGCGAGAUGUUGAUGUAGAAAAAAAGUUGUUAGUGUGGGAGACCUUGAAGGCAUUUUAUGAGCUGGACUCAACUGCUUUGAGCUUUGUUAUCAACACUUCACACAUAAAAUGGAAGGAUUGGAAGUCAGAUUUAAAGAGGUACAAGUUUGAUGCUGCGCUCACUGAUGCACAACUUAUGAAAAGACGUGACAGCAGAAUUAGUGAAGCUGACUGGAAGACCCUUAUUACUUAUUGGAGAUCUUCGGCAUUUGAAAAUCGUGCCAAUGCAGUACCUCAUACAUCUGGCAGCAAGAGUCAUGCCCGUGUUGCCAAUGAAAUGGCUGUCAAACUUGGGCAUGAUCCUCGGAGAGAUGAAGUUUAUAUCGAAACACAUACAUGCAAGAAAGGGGAAAGGAAAGGGAGUUAUGUGCCGCAGGCAGCAGCAACAAUUAAAGAACUCAUAGAGAGUGCUGAAAAACACCCUGAAUGGAAGGACAAAAGCAUUAAAGAAGGUGAUCUGUUUGCACGUGUAUGUGGACUGAAGGAGCCCAGGGGUCGUGUCCGUGUGUUAGGUCUAGGGCCAACACCUCAAGAUUUGGGCACACCGGGUACACGGGGUAAACUGAGCACAAGAGUUCUAGUUGCAAUGGAAGGGCGCCGAGAAGCUGAAAAUCGCUUUAACAUGCUCCAGGGGCAUGUGCAACAAAUGGAGGAACGAAUGAACCGAAUGGAAUUGAUGUUAGCUUCACAAGGAAGGCAUAAUCUGGAAACUCCUAUCUCGCAGCACGGUUCCAAUUCUCGACAAAACUCCGGAGUUGAAGCUGAGGAAGAUAACGAUGCUGAAGAAGAUGUUGAACAGGAUGAUGAAGAGCCAUUUGUUCAUAGAAGAGUUGUUGCAAAGCCCUCUGCAAGAAGCUCAUCAGCCCAUGAAGAUGAAAGCCUUAUUGGUAUGGAUGUGCUUCUAUAUGCAUGGACUGGUCCUGAAACUCCUGUUGCCAAGGCAACGAUUAUCUCAGUUGACCCAGACACUAUGGUGGGCGGAGAGCCCCUUGGACCAGCAACUUAUGAGGUUCUUGUCAAUGUUGCUAUCAGAAGGGAUGCCACUGUGCCUUAUGAAUAUGAUGGUUUACAAAUUAUCGCUGAUGCUGUCACAAGGACCAUUGCAUGGCCAUCUAGCAAGAUGAAACCCUACAAACCAGGGGCAUCUUCCUCAUCCCGCCGCUAAGGUAAGACAUACAAAAGGACCAUGAAGGAACCAUGAAGAUGGCAGUUCGUGUUUGCUAGACAUCUUGUGUAAUGGAGCAAAAACAGUGUCUUUUAGGAUCAUUUUGUGGACCUAUAUGGCGGCGUCUUGUCAUCUGGGUAUUUUGUGUAAUGGAGCAAACAAUGAAUCGAUGGACAUGCAUCUAUCAUUUUGUAAACCUAUCGAGUGAUUCGGUGACUGGAACAUAUAAAUGUUGGAAGGCUUAUGAG